UCUAACUUCUGCUGAGCAUUCUCUUGACAGAGACUUUGGGAGGAGUGUUGGGGGCAACCUCACUGCAGACCCGCCCGCGGUGUGAGUGGACCAUAUUUCAGUUUCUUCACUAAAGGAGUGUUGGAAGCGGAGCUCACGACGUUAUCAAAGCCAGCCACAAAUGCCACAUGUAAAGAAGCAAACAUCCGGAGCGGCUUCCUGCAAGCCUUGCUUUCCUCAACUCUAGAGAUUUACUGGGGUGGGGGUGGGUAUCUGGAGUACGAGCCUGGCGCGCCUGUCUGCUGCGGCUGGCGGCAGCGGUGGGUGUCACAACUCGUACACUGCAGAAACUCUGGGAGGCUACUGACUGCGCCACGUCCCCAAGGGUCGAAUGGCUGGGCAAAGAAGCGACAAAAGUAACAAGAAGCCGAGCCCGCGACCUCUUGAGGCUUGUAGCAAGCGGGUAGGUGAUCAACAAUGGCUCCCUAACAGAAGUCAAAGCUAUGCCCUACCGCGAACCUCUGAGUGAGCUGUGAUAUCCCGCAGGUUUUGUGGGGGUUUUGGUGUUCGGAUGUCCAGGGCCUGUUAAAAGACACUUAAGUCCAUUGCGCAGGAUCUGUGGACACCAAGGUAGAUCCGUGGUCUUUGGAGGUCAAGUUCAUGGGGGGGAAGAAAGGGGUGCACGGGCCGUCACCCUGGGGACCUCCCCCCCACCGCAGGCUCUAAGAUAAAGAGAUAGUAGUACAGUUGGACCACCUAAAACCAGUGAGUGCUUCUGCCUUCUGCACCUGCCUCUGGGAGCAAGGAGAGUAGCUGCGUGCCACAGAUAGUCGUGCCCAAGGCUCCGCACCUUCCAGUGCUGUAGGUAGAAUCCAGGGUCUCUGAGUUCACCGCAAGCCCUCUAUAGCUCAGCACAGUACAGCCCUAAGUGACUCCAUCACUUGUGAAGACGGACGCUAAAAAGAAAUCCCACGCUAGUUCAGAAUUGAGUAUAAUAAAGGGUUAUUUAUUUAGGGGUAGACUCACAGAUUGGAAACAGCAACCAAAUCCUGCAGCAGGAAGAGAGAGGGAACACUACUUUUACAUUGGCAUUUAUAGUAUAAGAGGCUACACCCAAGUGGGUGGGUAACUGAAAGGCUACUGACGGUAGGAUUUCCCACAGCAAACUUGUAUCCCAGGCUGGCCUUGAACUAAGCUGGUCAAGGAUGACUUUGAAUUGUUGACCCUCCUGCUUUCACAUCCUGAGUACUGCUUGUACCACUGAGCUGGUUUUUGGGACACCGAGGCUUAAGCCCAGGGCUUCAAGCAUACCGCCACACUCUAACGGCUAAGCCACAUCUCCAGCCUCCACAAUGUUUCUGUUAGUGGAAGUCAUGCUCUCCACACAGUAAUGGGUGCUCCUCAGGCCCCUGCAUCAAUAAGACAUAAGAACCCUGCGUUGUGGUUGCAUUCCUAUUUUAAGACAAGGCCUUGCUGUGUAGCCCAGGCUAGAUUUCAAGCCUGAGAUCCUCUUGUCUUGGGCUCCAGAGUGCAGUCGCAUGCCAACACAGCUGGCAUAUUGCAGGAUCCAAACUCUUAUUCCAAAUCCUUUCUGCCUAUUAUAAAAACAAUGAACUGCACAUCUGUAUCUUAGAGGCAUCUCCUACAGUACCCUGCAAGCAGAUAUUGAAAUGUGAGCACAAAUGUAUUUCCGCUAAGAAAAUGAAUUAAAUUUAAAAGAGAACUUAACAUCCAUUUCCCCUGUCUGAUAGAUUGAAAAAUGACUGUCAUUCACAUGCCUGGAUUUUGUUGUUUUAGAAUUUGACUUGAGGGAUCAUAGACCGACCAAAGGAUUCAUUUAGUCCACGGGAUCCUCACAUCAAAAGUAGACUGCCCUUUGUAUGAAUGCUCUUUGGAGCGUGGAAAAGAAGGCUUCCCAUAGCAUUCUGGAACAGAAAGUAUGACUUUUCAUUUUCUUGCUGUGUGCUUAUGCAUUUAGCAGGACUUCGCCCAAGAUGUAGGAACCUGCUUGAGGGAAAGAGUGUAGCUCCCACCUACUGCCAGCCAAUAAACGCUACUGAUGCUUAAGGACAGGAACACCCACUGUGGGUGCAGGUCAACAGGCUCAGGCCCAUGGACAAAGCUCCAAAGGAGACGAUCAUGACACUGCAGGAGUCACGCCUCACUGAAUUUCGCAAAAGCGGCAUUCAGGCUGGAAUACAGAUUCUGAGUCACGUGACUCCACUUAGGCUGGGUUUACCUGUAUUUUAGAGCUGAGUGGAUUUUGGAGUUGCCGAUAAGGAACAGUAGACUUGUGUGUGUUCUACCACUGGUUAUGUUUCAGAACAGUUGCUUCUUGAUUCCUCAGGGUGUGGUCCUCUGUGAACUGUGAGGUGGCUUAUCUACAUGCACCACCUUAAACAAGCAUUCUUAGAGGGGCAGCUAUAGCAGUCAGCUCUGGCUAAUUUACGCAAGAAUGGGAUUGAUGAGGGUAGAGGAGCCUGCAGGAGAGGAUGCCAAUCAUUACCUAGCUAAUGAGGGCAAAUGGCCUGAACCUGUACAGUGCUACAUCUUGGCCCUGGUGCUUGUUACAAGUGGCCCAGGGGAAAUCACUCAGAGCCUCCCAUCUUUAAAGUGGUUGUCUCCCUAUUGAGAUGUUGUAAAGCCAGCACUGGCCUUCCUCUGUACUUGUGAGAACCCCGACAUCUAACCCAACCUGGUAAAUCUUUAGCUCAAUCUAUUACCCUUAGCCACCCUUUGGAGGGAGUGCCUUCACAAAGGCAGACACAUUGGCAGAAGAAUGGAUUCCCCCCAUCACCACCAGGCAGGGCCAACACAGGUGCAGAGAAAGAUCACAGAGUUUGACCCAGGACACAACUCGCUUUCCUGUCUCUCUUGCUUCCUUGAAGCCUCCAUUUAUUCCGGACCUAACAUCUGAGGCCAGACAAACUCAUUCAGGCUGAAAAUGCUGAAUUUGGAUAAGAAUGUGAAUAAAAUUGUAAUAUGUGUGCAUGGAAUUCUCAAAGGAUAAAUAAAAUAUGCUCAAAAUAUCUCUUUAAAAAGUGUGUUUCAAAUACAUUACUGAGGGCUUUGUUGACAAUAGGAUCCCCCCCAUCAGGGAUAGAGAUAGAAUGUGAGCACCCCAAUUUCUACCCCUGGGAUGCAUUCUCUACUGUGUUAGCUAGUUUCCCUUAAUAAGUCUCAGAUCAUCACCAG